rnacentral:rRNA from 1 species
AAAGGAAUUGACGGGGGCCCGCACAAGCAGCGGAGCAUGUGGUUUAAUUCGAAGCAACGCGAAGAACCUUACCAAGGCUUGACAUCCUCUGACAGGCAUAGAAAUAUGCUUUCCCUUCGGGGCAGAGAGACAGGUGGUGCAUGGUUGUCGUCAGCUCGUGUCGUGAGAUGUUGGGUUAAGUCCCGCAACGAGCGCAACCCCUAUCAUUAGUUGCCAGCACGUAGAGGUGGGAACUCUAAUGAGACUGCCGGGGAUAACUCGGAGGAAGGUGGGGACGACGUCAAAUCAUCAUGCCCCUUAUGUCUUGGGCUACACACGUGCUACAAUGGCCGGUACAAAGGGCAGCGAAGCUGUAAAGUGGAGCGAAUCCCAAAAAGCCGGUCCCAGUUCGGAUCGUGGGCUGCAACCCGCCCACGUGAAGCCGGAGUUGCUAGUAAUCGCGAAUCAGCAUGUCGCGGUGAAUGCGUUCCCGGGCCUUGUACACACCGCCCGU